rnacentral:lncRNA from 1 species
GGAAUCUGAGACCUAAAAGGACCCCCUCUGUUGUAUAUAGACUAAGAGUCUGUUAUCUCUCUCUUAUAAACUGCACCUAGAUACUCUGUGAUUAUGUACGUUUACCUACCCUCUGUCAUUUCUAGUCUUAAUCAGCACAGAGCGUAAGGACAGUACUCUGCUGGAGGUGGUCCUUGUGGCUUGUUGACAUUUAGAAGGGGGCUUCACUCUGAAAAACUCUGCAAGUGUGUAGAGUCCUCGCCUAAUUAGGCAAUAUCCACUCAGGUUUGGUAGGGUUUGGUACUUCACAGAGACUCUGGACUGUCUCUGAUGUGAGGGGCCAGGAAACUGAUUCAGGCCAAACAGUACUGAAGAGCAGGGGUAGAUGCCCAAGAGCCGUUCAUGCAGAUCCCGCAAAGAAGACUCUUAUGCAGUUCACCAUUGCGGAGACUUCUGCAAAGACAUGGCAGGAGCAAGCCUGGACCCAUGGAUCAAGCUCCCUGACUGUGCGUAUGGAUCCAGAGGAAUAUUUGUGCAGAGCUGGCUGGGUGGGGGCCUAGAGGUAAGCAUCCUCCUGCACCUGAGUGAAAUAAACAUGCAUUUAUUUAUUUUUACUUUUGUUUUUCCAGGGGAUCCAGGGCAGGGCCUUCUACAUACUAGGCAAGUGCUCUACCACUGAGCCACAUUCCCAGGCCAGAAAUCAAUUGCCAAAUACUUCCAACAUGCCAGUUUGGAUUUUUAUUACUGUGAAGAAACACCAUGACCACAGCAACUCUUAUAAAAAAGUCAAACAUUUAAUUGGGGUUGCUUACGAACAGUUUCAGAGGUUCGGAGGCUGGGAGCACGGCGGUGUGUGGGCUGACGUGGUGCUGGAGCUGAGAGUCCUACAUCUUGCAGGCAACAGGAAGUCAACUGACUGUCACAGAGGGAAGCCUGAGCAAACGACCUCAAAGCCCACCCUCACAGUGACACACUUCCUCCAACGAGGCCACACCUCCUGAUUGUGUCACUCCCUUCGGGGACCAUCUUCUAAGCCUGUGCUGGGCUCCCGUGCUUUCUUGGGGUUUUGUUCUGCCUAUGACUUCCCAAGGGCUUCUCAGAGAAUAUUUUAUUAUAAUUUACUUUAUACACUGGACACAAUUUAUAUCUUACAAAUGCAAUAUCAACACCUGCUGUUAAAUAGGUUAUAUUUUCCUACUUUUCAAUUAUUUUUGU